GAGUUUGAUCAUGGCUCAGGACGAACGCUGGCGGCGUGCCUAAUACAUGCAAGUAGAACGCUGAAGAGAGGAGCUUGCUCUUCUUGGAUGAGUUGCGAACGGGUGAGUAACGCGUAGGUAACCUGCCUUGUAGCGGGGGAUAACUAUUGGAAACGAUAGCUAAUACCGCAUAACAAUGGAUGACCCAUGUCAUUUAUUUGAAAGGGGCAAAUGCUCCACUACAAGAUGGACCUGCGUUGUAUUAGCUAGUAGGUGAGGUAACGGCUCACCUAGGCGACGAUACAUAGCCGACCUGAGAGGGUGAUCGGCCACACUGGGACUGAGACACGGCCCAGACUCCUACGGGAGGCAGCAGUAGGGAAUCUUCGGCAAUGGGGGCAACCCUGACCGAGCAACGCCGCGUGAGUGAAGAAGGUUUUCGGAUCGUAAAGCUCUGUUGUAAGUCAAGAACGAGUGUGAGAGUGGAAAGUUCACACUGUGACGGUAGCUUACCAGAAAGGGACGGCUAACUAUGUGCCAGCAGCCGCGGUAAUACGUAGGUCCCGAGCGUUGUCCGGAUUUAUUGGGCGUAAAGCGAGCGCAGGCGGUUUGAUAAGUCUGAAGUUAAAGGCUGUGGCUCAACCAUAGUUCGCUUUGGAAACUGUCAAACUUGAGUGCAGAAGGGGAGAGUGGAAUUCCAUGUGUAGCGGUGAAAUGCGUAGAUAUAUGGAGGAACACCGGUGGCGAAAGCGGCUCUCUGGUCUGUAACUGACGCUGAGGCUCGAAAGCGCGGGGAGCGAACAGGAUUAGAUACCCUGGUAGUCCACGCCGUAAACGAUGAGUGCUAGGUGUUGGAUCCUUUCCGGGAUUCAGUGCCGCAGCUAACGCAUUAAGCACUCCGCCUGGGGAGUACGACCGCAAGGUUGAAACUCAAAGGAAUUGACGGGGGCCCGCACAAGCGGUGGAGCAUGUGGUUUAAUUCGAAGCAACGCGAAGAACCUUACCAGGUCUUGACAUCCCGAUGCUAUUUCUAGAGAUAGAAAGUUACUUCGGUACAUCGGUGACAGGUGGUGCAUGGUUGUCGUCAGCUCGUGUCGUGAGAUGUUGGGUUAAGUCCCGCAACGAGCGCAACCCCUAUUGUUAGUUGCCAUCAUUCAGUUGGGCACUCUAGCGAGACUGCCGGUAAUAAACCGGAGGAAGGUGGGGAUGACGUCAAAUCAUCAUGCCCCUUAUGACCUGGGCUACACACGUGCUACAAUGGUUGGUACAACGAGUUGCGAGUCGGUGACGGCAAGCUAAUCUCUUAAAGCCAAUCUCAGUUCGGAUUGUAGGCUGCAACUCGCCUACAUGAAGUCGGAAUCGCUAGUAAUCGCGGAUCAGCACGCCGCGGUGAAUACGUUCCCGGGCCUUGUACACACCGCCCGUC
rnacentral:rRNA from 1 species